rnacentral:rRNA from 1 species
UGCAGAAUCCCGUGAACCAUCAAGUCUUUGAACGCAAGUUGCGCCCGAAGACAUUAGGCCGAGGGCACGUCUGCCUGGGCGUCACGCAUCGCGUCGGCCGGCCCAAAUGCGAAUCCGCCGUCGACGCACGUCUCGACCCAAAUGCGAAUCCAACUCGCGUGCUGUCGCGUACCAAUGCGCCGUCGGUCCGGAGACAUCGUCAUAACCCAACGGCGUGCCCACGACAGCGACCCAGGUCAGGUGGGAUCAUCCGCUGAGUUUAAGCAUAUCAAUAAGCGGAGGAAAAUAAACUUACAAGGAUUCCUCUAGUAGCGGCGAGCGAACCAGGAAUAGCCCAACUUAAGAAUCGGACAACCACGCCGUCCGA